rnacentral:rRNA from 1 species
CCUACGGGAGGCAGCAGUGAGGAAUAUUGGUCAAUGGUCGGGAGACUGAACCAGCCAAGCCGCGUGAGGGAGGAAGGUACAGAGUAUCGUAAACCUCUUUUGUCAGGGAACAAAGGCGGGGACGUGUCCCCGGAUGAGUGUACCUGAAGAAAAAGCAUCGGCUAACUCCGUGCCAGCAGCCGCGGUAAUACGGGGCAUGCGAGCGUUAUCCGGAUUUAUUGGGUUAAAGGGGUGCGAAGGCGGUCUGUUAAGUCAGCGGUAAAACCCCGGGGCUCAACCCCGGCCCGCCGUUGAAACUGGCAGUCUCGAGUUGGAGAGAAGUAUGCGGAAUGCGCGGUGUAGCGGUGAAAUGCAUAGAUAUCGCGCAGAACUCCGAUUGCGAAGGCAGCAUGCCGGCUCCACACUGACGCUGAGGCACGAAAGCGUGGGUAUCGAACAGGAUUAGAUACCCUUGUAGUC